rnacentral:sRNA from 1 species
ACUGUUAGCAGCAUAGGAUUGAGGAGUUGGAAGAGACCUUUAGAACAGCUGGUCAUUAUGCCGACCGGGUGCCUGCACUAAGUUCGGCAUCAGUGUGGUGACCUCCUGUGAGCGGGGGGCCACCAAGUUGCCUAAGGAUGGCUGAACUGGCCCAGGUCAGAAAGGGAGCAGGUCAGAACUCCCA